CCGCGCUAUUGAAAGUGAAUUCGAAUUGUGUUUUCAAGUGUUAUAUUAUUUGUUAAAUUCUAUAUUUUUAAAAUGCGUUGUGCAGUGUUCGGUUGUAAUAAUAACAAUGGUAAAAAUACUGCUACGAAGUGGAGAUUUUUUCAUUUCCCUAAGGAUAAAGCCGCAUUAAAACAAUGGAUUCAAAUAAUGUACUGAAACAGAUAAUGGAGCUGGUUUCAUCAAUGAUGUUUGGUAUCAAGAUGAUAGAGAAAGAAUGAUAGCGCAAUGCGCAUGUUUGCUUUCAGUCAGCUGUUCUUGCUGACGUCACGGUUGACUUAUUAUUCGCCCGCGCUAUUGAAAGUGAAUUCGAAUUGUGUUUUCAAGUGUUAUAUUAUUUGUUAAAUUCUAUAUUUUUAAAAUGCGUUGUGCAGUGUUCGGUUGUAAUAAUAACAAUGGUAAAAAUACUGCUACGAAGUGGAGAUUUUUUCAUUUCCCUAAGGAUAAAGCCGCAUUAAAACAAUGGAUUCAAAUAAUGUACUGAAACAGAUAAUGGAGCUGGUUUCAUCAAUGACCAUUCCAAAAAGGUAUGUAUACUCCAAAGCAAUAAUGCUUUGAAAUUGCUGCUGGAUGACUUAAGACAGCAGCACAAAAUUGAUUACGUUUUGACUUAUCGAUUGAACCAGGACGUUUUGGAAAUUUUUUUUGGCGUAAUCAGGUCAAAAGGCGGUCUUCACGAUCAUCCUGACAGGCAGGAGUUCAAAUAUAGGCUGCGUUCCUAUAUACUUGGUCACAACGAAGGAGCGAUCACAGAAGAAGGCAAUGUUGAAGUCGACAACACACCAGAUUUGGAAGGAAAUUAGUUAUCUCUAACCGGUAAUAUUUUUUAACGUGUGUCAGUUGAUCUGAAUUCCACUGACCCAAUCGAAAAAAAUGAUGACUUGGAGAUUCUCAACAACGACGGACUUGAGAAUUUUGCAUGGUACAUCUGCCACAAACUCGGUAAAGACAACCCCGAAAUUUGUGCCAAUUCCGAAAAUUGUUCGUCACAUACUUGGGUGGAUCACCUUUCUGAAGGAGGACUCUCAAAACCAACAGAUAUGUUGAUGGAGCAUUUGAGAGCCUUGCAAGCAAUAUUUGACGACGUCAAUGGUAAUGAUUUGCUUAUAUGUACAAAUUAUGUCCAGAAACACAUAGAUUUAAGUGAUUUUGUAAAUUGUAGCUCGAAAAUAAAAGAACUAUUUUUCAG